AAAUAGAACUUUGCAGAGAGAGUUAAGAGGGCGUGAAACCGUUAAUUGGGAAACGAAUCGGAGCCACGAAGUCGUUUCGUUGAUAGUUGAGCCGAGUUCAGUUUAGAGUUGGUGUAACAACCAGCUUUGGGCGUAUUCUCGAGUUUGACCAUCUUUGUAAGCGUACACUGCAACUAGUUAGACAAUUGCCAAUGGACCAGCGGGAUGGCCCGAAGAGUAGUAGUUUUGCUUUGAUUAUUUGAAGUUGAAGCUGCUGCUUCGGGCYAAGAGAACUAUUGGGCAAACACUGACUAGCAAAAUGAAAAUUGUUUGUGUUUAAGCGACAUUUUUGAAACAAGGCUGCUGCUUGCACAGAGCGCUACGAGUCUAGCGUGUAGGUUUGAAGCUUGGUAUUUUUGAAUUUGGACUUGCUUGUCAACUUGGGGGGCAACUCUCUUGAUGCUGGUACAGUUUCCAUCUAAUCGGAUAUCGACUUGACUUGCGUGAUUAGUGCUCGGAACGAUAGGUGCACUGUGUAAAGCUAGUAAGCAAGUUGAUUGGCAGUGAGUAGGUCGGCUUUCCGAACGACCCGUCUUGAAACACGGACCAAGGAGUCUAAUUAAGUAUCGAGUUGAUCAGAAUUGAAUAAACUAUUUUGUACAGUGCAAGACGUACGAAAGCGUAGAGAAAUCAUGUGACUUGUUUGGAAAUACAGAUUUGUAUACAAGCAAAUGCAACAUGUGCCUGCUGCUUGAGCGGAGCAAGGAGAUACUUGAUUGGUACCCGAAAGAUGGUGAUGCUUGGGCAAAUUGAAGCCAGAGGAAACUCUGGUGGAGGAUUGUAGCGAUUCUGACGUGCAAAUCGAUCGUCAGACCUGAGUAUAGGGGCGAAAGACUAAUCGAACCAUC
rnacentral:rRNA from 1 species